UAUUAUUACUGUACUAAGGAAUUUGGCAAAAAUUAAUUUUGCCUGUUUAUCAAAAACAUGUCUCUUUCAGUUUUUUUUUAAUAGAGAGUUGGGCCUGUUCAGUGAUUAACAUUUAACAGUCACAGUAUUACAACUGUACUAAGGUAGCAUAACAACUUGCACUAUAGAUUGGGGCUAGAAUGAAUGGUCUGACAAAACUUAUACCGUCUCUAUUUUAGUGAUUAAAAAUUAAUUUUUAUAGGGGGAACGCUUAAAUGAUUUAAAGGGAUGAAAAGACCCUAUUGAGCUUAUAUUAUUAUUGCAAUUUCAACUUUGUUUUGAAGUUCAAUACUCUGAAAAUAAAUCACCAUAGGAAGACAAUUUGGGAAUAGGUAUUUAGAACAAAAUUUGAAAUAAACAUUAAGGUUGUAAAAAGCAAAUUG